GGAUCCUACGGGAGGCAGCAGUCGGGAAUAUUGCGCAAUGGAGGAAACUCUGACGCAGUGACGCCGCGUGAGUGAAGAAGUAUUUCGGUAUGUAAAGCUCUAUCAGCAGGGAAGAAGAUGACGGUACCUGACCAAGAAGCCCCGGCUAACUACGUGCCAGCAGCCGCGGUAAUACGUAGGGGGCAAGCGUUAUCCGGAUUUACUGGGUGUAAAGGGAGCGCAGACGGCAGUGCAAGUCUGGAGUGAAAGCCCGGGGCCCAACCCCGGAACUGCUCUGGAAACUGUGCGGCUAGAGUACUGGAGGG
rnacentral:rRNA from 1 species